rnacentral:snRNA from 1 species
GUUCUUGCUUCGGCAGCACAUACACUAAAAUUGGAACAAUAACAGAGAAGAUUAGCAUGGCCGCUGUGCAAGGAUGACACACAAAUUCAUGGUUUUUGGCAGUCUACA